UACGGAGGGUGCAAGCGUUGUCCGGAUUUAUUGGGUUUAAAGGGUGCGUAGGCGGCUUAUUAAGUCAGGGGUGAAAGACUAUUGCUUAACAAUGGCAGUGCCUUUGAUACUGAUAGGCUUGAGUACAGCUGAGGCAGAUGGAACGGGUGGUAUAGCGGUGAAAUGCAUAGAUACCAUCCAGAACACCGAUUGCGAAGGCAGUCUGCUAAACUGUAACUGACGCUGAGGCACGAAAGCGUGGGGAUCGAACAGG
rnacentral:rRNA from 1 species